UGAGCCAAAAUAAAUCUUGAAGAUGUCUUGU
rnacentral:piRNA from 1 species